rnacentral:lncRNA from 10 species
AACGACAAGCCCAGGCCUGCCCUCUGCAUCCCGUUUCUUUCUCCAAGAGCUGUUUUUCUACGCGCUCGAGCCUUUGAGCUGUGUGUGCGGGAGAAAAAGAUGUUAAGAAAGAGGAAGUAGAGGUCGGGCACGGUGGCUCACGCCUGUAAUCUCAGCACUUUGGGAGGCCGAGAUGAGCGGAUCACCUGACGUCAGGAGUUCGAGACCAGCCUGGCCAACAUAGCAAAACCCUGUCUCUACUAAAAAUACAAAAAAAUUAGCUGGGCGUGGUGGCAGGCGUCUGUAAUCCCAGCUACUCGGGAGGCUGAGGCAGGAGAAUCACUUGAACCCGGGAGGCAGAUGUUGCAGGGAACCAAGAUUGCACCACUGCACUCCGGCCUGGGAGAUAAGAGCGAAACUGAGUCUCAAAAAAAAAAAAAAAAAAAAAGAAAGGGAAAAAGGAGGAAGUAGAAACUGCAGAAGACAAAUCUCUGUUUUAUUCUCAGUGUACCAUGGAAAGGACAAUGGAAGUUGCUGGCCAUGCCUCUGAAAACACAGGCAGCUCUGUGUCACAUUAUUGAGGAAGAUGAUAUUGGAUGUGGCUGAUUUCACAUACAGGAGCCUUGUCCUGGGACAUGGAGGAGUGUUGAGGGUGGUCACCAGAUUGCCUUUCCCAUUAACUAGGUGUGCACUAGCUGAUUCAUUAUCAUAGCGCUAAGGUCAUAGAGGGAUGACCCGAAUGAUUAUCUGCUUUGAGCAAAGAACCCACAGUUCUGGGCAAGUCACUUCACUUCUCUGUGUAAUAAAGAGAUUGAAUUAGAAGAGUGCUACGCAGCUACGGAUUCUGUGGUUCUCUAUUAAGCUACCUCGGUUCAUAUCAAAUGCGUAUCAAAUCUUUACAAACAUGUAGAAAAGCCCAGAAACAAUACUGAACAAUAUGUUUAGGGAAACAUCUCACAUUGAAAUUAGGUCAGGAAAGCAGCCCAUUAAAGACUUUUUAACGUUAAAUCAAAACUAAGGGCCG